CCACACCAGCAGAGCUGGGCUGUCUGGGAGGUGACGUGCCACACCAGCAGAGCUGAGCUGUCUGGGAGGUGACGUGCCACACCAGCAGAGCUGAGCUGUCUUGGGACAGCUGGGACCUUUGCGUCCGGGGCAUGGAGGACAGCCUGGGGAGGUCCGAGGUGACCCCAUCGCAUGGUGUUGUGGACUGACGGCAGUUGGGGAAAUGGUACAGACCCCCACCAUGGUUGUCAUAGCCCUAGAGGCGGAGGUGCUCUGUGGCCACAGGCGUCCAGCGCCAGUCUGAGCCUUCCAGUGCCUCAAGCUUGCUGCCCGAUCUCAACCCAACCUUUCUGCCUUCCACCAUGGGGUGACCCUCGCCAGACACCAGCCCCGUGCUCUUGGACUUCCCAGCCUCCAGAACCAAAUAAACUUCUGUUGUUUGUAAAUUCCUCAGUCUGUGGUAUUUUGUUACAGCAGCAGAAACAAGUCUAAGGCAGAGGCUGGGCGGAUUCAUUCAGCCCAGUGUCAGAAUUCCACAUGGCACUGACUGUGUGCAGCAAGGCUGCUAAGGGGUCGUCCUGGGAUAGACUCACAGGGUCUCAGUUCCUAGGGUGCUCAGAGACCACUGUGUUCCGGCUGGGAUGCCUCCAGUGAUGGGAGGCUCACCCCUGAUAGAGGCAGCACGUUCCAGCACGUCUGGUUUCUGCAGGGAGCCAGCGAGUUCAGCGCGUAGCUGAGGCUGCAGGAAGGUGACAGGCUGCCAGUGGGCCGCUUUUCUGGUGGACAUGAAAGACGCCUGUCCUUGCUGUUGGGUUUCGAGGCUGUGGGUCUGUUCUGCUCAUGACCUUGAGGGACAGUUGGGUUGUGGGGGUGGUGCCAAGUGGUGCCAACUUUGCUUUAUUUCGUGGUCAUCGUUAGAAAGCAGCAGUGAAAGGCAGUGGGCUUGCCUUGUACGUGGGGAUGGUGAGCUCCGCCGCCAGCCCAGCACCGCUCCACCUGGGGCCUGCAGUGCUACACGGAGAAGUGGGGUCUAGGCCACGGGCCGUUCACUCAAGGCCACAUCUCCCCAUUUUAACCCUGUAGCUGCUGUAACAAACUGCACAAACUUGGUGUCUUGAAGCAACUCAGCUUCAUUCUCUUACAGUUCUGGAGGCCAGAAAUCCUGAGUCAGCGGCCUGGGCUAACGUCAGGGUGUCGGCGGGACUGGCUCCUUCAGGAGGCUCUGGGGACGUCCUUGUCCUUGCCUUUUUCCACGUGCAGAGGCGCCGCCUGCCUUGCCUCGUGCCCUUCCCUCAAUCCCUCCUUCUCUGCCUCUGCUGCUUUGGCUCUGACCCUCCCGCCUCCCUCUCAUAAGGACCCUUGUCAUGACAUCAGGACCCUUGUGCCCCCAGACAGUCCAGGCUUCUCUCCCUUCCCUAGAGCCUUAAUCACAC
rnacentral:lncRNA from 13 species